rnacentral:rRNA from 1 species
GGAGGAUCCAAACGUUAUCCGGAAUCAUUGGGUUUAAAGGGUCCGUAGGCGGCUUAAUAAGUCAGCGGUGAAAGUUUUUGGCUUAACCAAAAAAUUGCCAUUGAUACUGUUAGGCUUGAAUUUUUGUGAAGUAACUAGAAUAUGUAGUGUAGCGGUGAAAUGCUUGGAUAUUACAUGGAAUACCAAUUGCGAAGGCAGGUUACUAACAAACGAUUGACGCUGAUGGACGAAAGCGUGGGUAGCGAACAGGAUUAGAUACCCUGGUAGUCCACGCCGUAAACGAUGGAUACUAGCUGUUUGGUCGUAAGACUGAGUGGCUAAGCGAAAGUGAUAAGUAUCCCACCUGGGGAGUACGAACGCAAGUUUG